GAUGAACGCUGGCGGCGUGCCUAAUACAUGCAAGUCGAGCGAACAGACGAGGAGCUUGCUCCUCUGACGUUAGCGGCGGACGGGUGAGUAACACGUGGAUAACCUACCUAUAAGACUGGGAUAACUUCGGGAAACCGGAGCUAAUACCGGAUAAUAUAUUGAACCGCAUGGUUCAAUAGUGAAAGACGGUUUUGCUGUCACUUAUAGAUGGAUCCGCGCCGCAUUAGCUAGUUGGUAAGGUAACGGCUUACCAAGGCGACGAUGCGUAGCCGACCUGAGAGGGUUAUCGGCCACACUGGAACUGAGACACGGUCCAGACUCCUACGGGAGGCAGCAGUAGGGAAUCUUCCGCAAAGGGCGAAAGCCUGACGGAGCAACGCCGCGUGAGUGAUGAAGGUCUUCGGAUCGUAAAACUCUGUUAUUAGGGAAGAACAAAUGUGUAAGUAACUAUGCACGUCUUGACGGUACCUAAUCAGAAAGCCACGGCUAACUACGUG
rnacentral:rRNA from 1 species